GCCAUCCAUGUCAUUGCUAUAGCUGUUAUUACUUGUGUUGUUAACUCUUCACCAAAUAAAAGAUGUGUCCAUCCAGGUAGUUGUAAUACGUGAGCCAUUACUUAUCCAUCUAGUGUCUUGAGAUGAUGCUCAGCAAUCAUGACAUUUCUUUGAGUAGUUCAAUUCUCACCCAUAUAACAAGACAUCCAUCCUAUUGUAUAAGUGUAAUCCAAGCUUUACUCAGCCGAUCUAUUACCUUUGAGAUACUGAGAUCAUGAUACUGUAUGAAGUGACCUUAUAACUUGAUAACUCUUACGAUAUCCAUCCAGUUCAUCAUACAACCAUUACUCACCCAGUCUAAUUCUCUUCAGCUGAUCUUCAGCAAUCAUGACACUGUAUUAAGUUGAUUCAACUCUCAACCAUAUCCAAUAUAUCCAUCCAGGGUAGUUGCAUAAUUGUAAAGUGUGAACCUUGCAAACCUUAUCUAUUACCAGAGCUGAUUUUCAACAAUCUCUGACACACUGUAUGAAGUGACCUCAUAAUUUGAUAACUGUUGAGAUAUCCAUUCAGGUAACAAUAUAAUGCUAGCCAUUACGCACCCAGUCUAAUUCUCUUUAGCUGCUUUUCAGGAUCAUGACACUGUAUAAAGUGACUUAACUCUUUCAGCCACCGCAUAAGAUAUCUGUCCAGGUAAUUGUAUAAUUGUAAAUUGACCUCAUGGUUAAAGAAGAUUGGUGAUUGGUGAUGGAUCCAUGGUUAAAGAAGAUUGAG
rnacentral:lncRNA from 1 species